UACGUAGGGGGCUAGCGUUGUCCGGAAUCAUUGGGCGUAAAGCGCGCGUAGGCGGCCCGGUAAGUCCGUUGUAAAAGUCAAAGGCUCAACCUUUGAAAGCCGAUGGAUACUGCCGGGCUAGAGUCCGGAAGAGGCGAGUAGAAUUCCUGGUGUAGCGGUGAAAUGCGUAGAUAUCUGGAGGAACACCGGUGGCGAAGGCGGCGUUCUGGACUGCAACUGACACUGAGGAACGAAAGCCAGGGGAGCAAACGGG
rnacentral:rRNA from 1 species